CUUUUAUCAUAACUAAGGAAAACUAUGAUUAUAGCUAUCUGUCUCCAACUCCAUCAAAGACCACAGAAGGAUAACAUAUAAACACUAGGAUUGACAGAAACCAGUUAAGAGGUAAAUGGGUGGGGUCCGUGCAUCUGUGGACAGUGUGAGGCUGGUAGCGGCCCCCUGCGCACCGGGUCUGGGUCUUCCCAGAGUCGAGUUGCUUGGGAAUGUAGCCCAAAGAGGUUGGUAAACUCCAUCUAAGGCUAAAUACUGGCAAGAGACCGACAGUGAACAAGUACCAUAAAGGAAAGUUGAAAAGAACUUUGAAGAGAGAAUUCAAAAGGGCGGUUUACUGCACUGCUAACCACACUCACUUUGGGCGUGACUAGAGACACAU
rnacentral:ncRNA from 1 species